CCCUUAGAUGUUCUGGGCCGCACGCGCGCUACACUGAUUCAUGCAACAAGUUUUGUCCUUGGCUGAUAGGUCUGGGUAAUCUUUGAACGCUGUUCGAGGUAGGGAUCGGAGCUUGCAAUUGUUCUCCGUGAACCAGGAAUUCCCAGUAAGCGCAAGUCAUAAGCUUGCGUUGAUUACGUCCCUGCCCUUUGUACACACCGCCCGUCGCUACUACCGAUUGAACGUUUUAGUGAGGUAUUUGGACUGGACCUUCGGAGGUUCGCGCCUCCGUUGCUGUUCGGGAAGACUCCCAAACUUGAGCGUUUAGAGGAAGUAAAAGUCGUAACA
rnacentral:rRNA from 1 species